GUGUUCGUAGAAAGGAGAGACGGUUGGCAUCUCCCCUGACAGGGACGGGAACGGCCUUCGGGCUUUCCUGUUAACACAUACGGUUAAGGCUACCCGCUUAUGCGGAUCUUUAUCAAAUUUUUUU